UGUGAAUAUAUUUAAUGUUAAAUAAAUCCACCAUAAUCAAAUCACAUUUCUUCUAAAAGAAAAAAAAAAAAAAAAGAACAGAAAAUUUAAAAAUGGAAAAUGGGGCAAAAUGGCGUAAUGAUCUCCUCGAACGACCGACAGCUAUGAUGAGAUGCCCCAGGUUGCGUGCUCUCGUCCACGCCCUCGAAAACAAUGGAUUUAUGAGGUUAGCACUGAGAGUAUGAAAGAGAGCAUGUCUGCGCCUCCCUAGAAGAAUAUGCUAAGUGCUGUGCUGGGGAUUCCAAUAGGGUUAUCGGCUAACUUAGCAGGGUCAGGGGAUCACAUGUGGAAGAUGGAUAUACGAACUACUGUUCCCCUUCAAGAAGGAUAUAUAACUGUUACUCCGCUAGGUGCAUUGGCUCAUGCAGAGAUAGUUGGCGAAACAUACUUGAAAGAAUGGCUGCCAGGUGUGCUUGAACGUUACACUUCUUCUGCUUUGUAAAGAUGAAAGUUGUGUCUUUCAAAUAGAAAUCUUCAAGGAAGAGUGAACUCACUUGUUUAUUCCGUUAAGCAUUUCUGUGUAUCUUCUUAUUGAAUUACAUGUUAUUAAUAUUGUCAAAAGCUGCCAACAGCUUCAUUGAAGUUCUAGUAUUAUAACAUAGAUUUCAGUUCAAGGUUAAAGUAACACGGAACAUCAAAAGAUUGAAUAAACAAAUGAAAAGCUUCUGGGAUUGUACUCUUUUCUGAUCUAAACUUUGUGGAGAACCCAGAAGAUAACUACGCUUACGUUUCAGUUCCUUAUCAA